rnacentral:rRNA from 1 species
GACGAACGCUGGCGGCGUGCUUAACACAUGCGAGUCGAACGGAAAGGCCCUGCUUGCAGGGUACUCGAGUGGCGAACGGGUGAGUAACACGUGGGUGAUCUGCCCUGCACUUCGGGAUAAGCCUGGGAAACUGGGUCUAAUACCGGAUAGGAGCCAUUUUUAGUGUGAUGGUUGGAAAGUUUUUUCGGUGUAGGAUGAGCUCGCGGCCUAUCAGCUUGUUGGUGGGGUAAUGGCCUACCAAGGCGGCGACGGGUAGCCGGCCUGAGAGGGUGGACGGCCACAUUGGGACUGAGAUACGGCCCAGACUCCUACGGGAGGCAGCAGUGGGGAAUAUUGCACAAUGGGCGCAAGCCUGAUGCAGCGACGCCGCGUGGGGGAUGACGGCCUUCGGGUUGUAAACUCCUUUCGCUAGGGACGAAGCUCUUUGUGACGGUACCUAGAUAAGAAGCACCGGCUAACUACGUG